rnacentral:rRNA from 1 species
AUUGAACGCUGGCGGCAUGCCUUACACAUGCAAGUCGAACGGCAGCACGGGAGCAAUCCUGGUGGCGAGUGGCGAACGGGUGAGUAAUAUAUCGGAACGUGCCCAGUCGUGGGGAUAACGUAGCGAAAGCUACGCUAAUACCGCAUACGAUCUAUGGAUGAAAGCGGGGGAUCGCAAGACCUCGCGCGAUUGGAGCGGCCGAUAUCAGAUUAGGUAGUUGGUGAGGUAAAGGCUCACCAAGCCGACGAUCUGUAGCUGGUCUGAGAGGACGACCAGCCACACUGGGACUGAGACACGGCCCAGACUCCUACGGGAGGCAGCAGUGGGGAAUUUUGGACAAUGGGCGCAAGCCUGAUCCAGCAAUGCCGCGUGCAGGAUGAAGGCCUUCGGUUGUAACUGCUUUGUACGGAACGAACGGUGAGCUCUAAUACAGUUUGCUAAUGACGGUACCGUAAGAAUAAG